rnacentral:rRNA from 1 species
UUCGCCCUUAGAGUUUGAUCCUGGCUCAGGACGAACGCUGGCGGCACGCUUAACACAUGCAAGUCGAACGAGAGAAGAGAAGCUUGCUUUUCUGAUCUAGUGGCGGACGGGUGAGUAACACGUGAGCAAUCUGCCUUUCAGAGGGGGAUACCGAUUGGAAACGAUCGUUAAUACCGCAUAAUAUAAUUGAACCGCAUGAUUUGAUUAUCAAAGAUUUAUCGCUGAAAGAUGAGCUCGCGUCUGAUUAGCUAGUUGGUAAGGUAACGGCUUACCAAGGCGACGAUCAGUAGCCGGACUGAGAGGUUGAUCGGCCACAUUGGGACUGAGACACGGCCCAGACUCCUACGGGAGGCAGCAGUGGGGAAUAUUGCACAAUGGAGGAAACUCUGAUGCAGCGAUGCCGCGUGAGGGAAGAAGGUUUUAGGAUUGUAAACCUCUGUCUUCAGGGACGAAAAAAGACGGUACCUGAGGAGGAAGCUCCGGCUAACUACGUGCCAGCAGCCGCGGUAAUACGUAGGGAGCGAGCGUUGUCCGGAAUUACUGGGUGUAAAGGGAGCGUAGGCGGGAUCGCAAGUCAGAUGUGAAAACUAUGGGCUUAACCCAUAAACUGCAUUUGAAACUGUGGUUCUUGAGUGAAGUAGAGGUAAGCGGAAUUCCUAGUGUAGUGGUGAAAUGCGUGGAUAUUAGGAGGAACAUCAGUGGCGAAGGCGGCUUACUGGGCUUUAACUGACGCUGAGGCUCGAAAGCGUGGGGAGCAAACAGGAUUAGAUACCCUGGUAGUCCACGCCGUAAACGAUGAUUACUAGGUGUGGGGGGACUGACCCCUUCCGUGCCGCAGCAAACGCAAUAAGUAAUCCACCUGGGAGUACGACCGCAAGGUUGAAACUCAAAGGAAUUGACGGGGGCCCGCACAAGCAGUGGAGUAUGUGGAUUAAUUCGAAGCAACGCGAAGAACCUUACCAGGUCUUGACAUCGUAUGCAUAGCUCAGAGAUGAGUGAAAUCUCUUCGGAGACAUAUAGACAGGUGGUGCAUGGUUGUCGUCAGCUCGUGUCGUGAGAUGUUGGGUUAAGUCCCGCAACGAGCGCAACCCUUACUGUUAGUUGCUACGCAAGAGCACUCUAGCAGGACUGCCGUUGACAAAACGGAGGAAGGUGGGGAUGACGUCAAAUCAUCAUGCCCCUUAUGACCUGGGCCUCACACGUACUACAAUGGCUGUUAACAGAGGGAUGCAAAGCCGCGAGGUGGAGCGAACCCCUAAAAGCGGUCCCAGUUCGGAUAGCAGGCUGCAACCCGCCUGCGUGAAGUUGGAAUUGCUAGUAAUCGCGGAUCAGCAUGCCGCGGUGAAUACGAAGGGGGGCCUUGUACUCACCGCCCGUCA